GAUCCUGGCUCAGGAUGAACGCUAGCUACAGGCUUAACACAUGCAAGUCGAGGGGAAACGAUAUUGGAAGCUUGCUUCCGAUAGGCGUCGACCGGCGCACGGGUGAGUAACGCGUAUCCAACCUGCCCAUCACUUGGGGAUAACCUUGCGAAAGUAAGACUAAUACCCAAUGACGUCUCUAGAAGACAUCUGAAAGAGAUUAAAGAUUUAUCGGUGAUGGAUGGGGAUGCGUCUGAUUAGCUUGUUGGCGGGGUAACGGCCCACCAAGGCGACGAUCAGUAGGGGUUCUGAGAGGAAGGUCCCCCACAUUGGAACUGAGACACGGUCCAAACUCCUACGGGAGGCAGCAGUGAGGAAUAUUGGUCAAUGGACGAGAGUCUGAACCAGCCAAGUAGCGUGCAGGAUGACGGCCCUAUGGGUUGUAAACUGCUUUUAUAAGGGAAUAAAGUGGGAGUCGUGACUCUUUUUGCAUGUACCUUAUGAAUAAGGACCGGCUAAUUCCGUG
rnacentral:rRNA from 1 species